rnacentral:misc_RNA from 1 species
CCGUUGAGUGUAUGCUCAAGAGGAAGGACGGGGGGGGUGGGCGGAGUUUUCGAUUCUGUCCGAACGUGUGCGCCCUCUUGUCGCCACCCACCCACCCAUCCCUCCUCCCUCUGUUGCCCCCAUGGGGAGGGAGGGGCUCCUUGGUGCAGGUCGACUUCUUCACGCCACAGGUGCAGCAACAACAACAGCCCCUCACAAACAUAUAUAUAUAUAUAUCCAAUAAUCGCAAAGGGAGGAAGAGAUGCUGCGUCGAUUGGCGUGCCGUAGUGUCGCGUGCGCCGAAGUCUGACGCUCCGCCGUCCCCACUUGCGCACGUCUCUCUCUUUUUGCUAUUACACAGAGGACAGAAGGACGCGUACCCGCUCUGCGCCACUGGUACACGUUCGGAGUCGGCCGUCGUACUCAAAGCCAGCGUAUGCCUCUCUCCCUUUUUUUUCCUGCUUCUCCUCGCGGUGCCGCUUGCUUGCCUGGCCUGCUGCCGCGGCUCCGACUUUGCAGCGUGCCCGUACAUGGAGACUCACCGCCUCUCCUGUUUCUCGCGUUUGUUCUGCUCCCUCACGCUCAAAG